AAACUCUCCAACCAGAGUGGAGGAGGUCCCGGUACAAAAGAAAGUCAACACAAAACAAACAAUCUGAUGAGAAUGUGCCAUCUUGCUAACUCUGCUGAAUCCAACAAAGGCAUUAGAACAGACAUCACUUUCCUGAUAUGGGAACACUGGCUCAACCAAUGGCAUCAGUUUGGGGCGGGACUUGCUGUUUGGUCAUCCAAUGGCGGAUGAGUUUUUCCUCUCCCUCUUCCAGAAGGGUUGACAGCUCCAAACAAAACAGGGCCUGUGAGCUGACUGACACAUUCUGCUUCUGAAAGGGGAGCAUUUAACACGCCUCACACCCCGCACUGCCC